AAGCUUUUACCAAUAGUUUCCAAAUACGGAAAGAUGUGCCUGCAGUGUGGCAUAUUUUAGAACAGCAUCCACUCUGGAUUUAAGGGUUUCAGAUGGUGGACAAUCCAUCACAGUCUGCAACCGCCGUGGCUGAGUGCUCUGUGUUUGUUUUGAAGUGCCCCAUGCAUCUGCAGUCUCUGCUCCUCACUUCUUCCUGACGCCCUCCACGGUGACGUCUGUCAGGGAUGGAGUUUGCAAUGUAAUAACCUCAUUCUGCUGCAAAUCCUGAGGCUUCACGACUCAUCUGUCUGCCAGGCAAAGCGUUUCCUGACCUUUUUAAGAAAGCUGGAGACAGCGAAGCAGCCGGACUGGAGGGUGCCCCAUCUGCCUGGAACCAAAACAGCGUCGCUGAGAGUCCUGGAGGGGAGGAAACUUGCAGCUCGGAGCCAGCAGUGCGGGCUGAGAGCUUGCGUGACCUCCCCUUCCCCCAGAGAGGGAAGAUUGCACUGGCUGCUAUUGUAUUUGAGCGUGUAAGUGAUGAUUUUCUCUUUCAAAAUCUCAUCAGCUGAUAAAGGCAAAUCCCGAAGAAGCUGAUGCUUGCAGGGGUGGGCUGGAUGUCCAGGGCUGCUUUCUCUGAUAGUGUUGGAUAUGAGCAGUGUGUACCCCAUGUUUUGCACGAAGGAUGUUGGAGGUGUGAUGGCAGAAGGCAUUGCUUCCAUCAGUGUUUUCUGUGGCAAGUUUGAGAAUGGAAACCUAAAACCUGCAGCUUAGCUGGUGCUGUUGCAGGUGUCUUAGGUCACAGAUGUCCCAUUGGAGCAUGGCUGUCCCUUAUUAGUGAAAGCUGUCCUUGUUUCAGUUGGAAUAGAGUGGAUUGUCACCUAAUAGCUGGGAUGGUGCUCAGUUUUGGAUUUAGGAUGAUCCUCCUGGUCCAACUUGAGAUAUUCUGUGAUUCAGAAUGUGGGUAGCACACCAGUGGUUUUGUUGGUGCAGAGCAGUGCUGCAUGGAGCCAAGGACAUCUGAGCUUCUCCUGUUGCUCUGCCAGUGAGGGGAUAAAGAGCUGAGAGGGGACAGCACCGGGAUGGCAGACCAAAAGGACAUCCCAUACCUUAUGGCAUCAUGCUGAGCCUGGUGAGCAUUGCAUUGUGCGUCACUUGUUCAGUAUAUUCUUUUAUCAUUAUCACUUGUUCAGUAUACUUUAUUUAUUCUAUUUUAGCAUUAUAAUCUUCCCUUCCUUUUCUGUUCUAUUAAACUAUCUUUGUCUCAACCUAUGAGUUUUACCCAUUUCCCAGUUCUCUCCCAUCCCUGUAGGAAUGAGCAAACUGCUGUAUGGUGCUGAGCA